CCUACGGGUGGCAGCAGUGGGGAAUAUUGCACAAUGGGGGAAACCCUGCUGCAGCGACGCCGCGUGAGUGAAGAAGUAUUUCGGUAUGUAAAGCUCUAUCAGCAGGGAAGAAGAAAGACGGUACCUGACUAAGAAGCCCCGGCUAACUACGUGCCAGCAGCCGCGGUAAUACGUAGGGGGAAAGCGUUAGCCCGAUUUACUGGGUGUAAAGGGAGCGUAGACGGCUGUGCAAGUCUGAAGUGAAAGCCCAGGGCUCAACCCUGGGACUGCUUUGGAAACUGUGGAGCUAGAGUGCUGGAGAGGUAAGUGGAAUGCCUAGUGUAGCGGUGAAAUGCGUAGAUAUUAGGAGGAACACCAGUGGCGAAGGCGGCUCUCUGGUCUGCAACUGACGCUGAGGCUCGAAAGCAUGGGUAGCGAACAGGAUUAGAUACCCCAGUAGUC
rnacentral:rRNA from 1 species